GAUGAACGCUAGCUACAGGCUUAACACAUGCAAGUCGAGGGGAAACGACAUCGAAAGCUUGCUUUUGAUGGGCGUCGACCGGCGCACGGGUGAGUAACGCGUAUCCAACCUGCCCACCACUUGGGGAUAACCUUGCGAAAGUAAGACUAAUACCCGAUGAUAUCUCUAGACGACAUCUGAAAGGGAUUAAAGAUUUAUCGGUGAUGGAUGGGGAUGCGUCUGAUUAGCUUGUUGGCGGGGUAACGGCCCACCAAGGCAACGAUCAGUAGGGGUUCUGAGAGGAAGGUCCCCCCACAUUGGAACUGAGACACGGUCCAAACUCCUACGGGAGGCAGCAGUGAGGAAUAUUGGGUCAAUGGGCGAGAGCCUGAACCAGCCAAGUAGCGUGCAGGACGACGGCCCUAUGGGUUGUAAACUGCUUUUAUAAGGGAAUAAAGUGAGUCUCGUGAGACUUUUUGCAUGUACCUUAUGAAUAAGGACCGGCUAAUUCCGUG
rnacentral:rRNA from 1 species